rnacentral:tRNA from 1 species
AUUUUGGUGGCUGAAUCCCUAGGCGGUAAAUUGUAAAUUUAUUUAUGACAUUAUUUGUGUCCCUU